rnacentral:lncRNA from 10 species
UCACAAAGGUGAAUUCACUUGCUCAAGAUCCAACACACACAAAAUGGAGGUGGUUCAAACCCAGGUGUGUCUGACUGCAGAGCCUGUGUUCUUCCCAGUAGAGAUGUGGAUGCAGCACAAAUGGUAGAAAGGACCUGAGACUUAGUCAGAAGACCUCAGUUCACCCAAGGUAUCUGCUAUGCCCAAGGCCUCUGCUCAGUGCUGAGGAAACAAGCAUGGACAAGAUGUGGCCUCCACCCUGAGGAGCUCCUAAAUCUAGGACAGAGUAAAUCUGUUAGAAAUGUCUUCUCUGCACAUAAUUUAAGCUCUACCAACUGUUAACUUCUUUUCAUUUAUCCAAGUUUUGCCAGGUACCACACCAAUAAAAAAAGACU